rnacentral:lncRNA from 1 species
GCCCCCCUUCUCUUGAGGUAGCAUUUCAAAAAUGAGUUGAACUGGAAUCAUCUGUUUAGGCACCUGCUUCAAAUGGAGCUUCCAGAAAGCCCUUCGCUAAUGGCGAAGGUUUUUCUAUGCUACAUGGCCUAGGUCUGACCGCCUACCUUUUGUUUUGACUUUUCUUUAGUCAGGAAUGGCUUUUUCUUUAGCGGAAAUGGUCGGAACCAAGCAACUAGUCCCCCGGGACUUGAAAAAGAGGUUUCAACUAUCAAUCGUUGCCCUUAUGUUGAGGAGAUUUGGAAGCACUUGCUGAAUACCCUCCUAGCCAGGGGAUCCCCCUUGCCCUUGCAAGAUGAGGCCGAGUAGGUGAUGCACCAUUAUCCGGGGCAUGGUCUCAUUAGCUCUAUUACGAAACUGCUUUUUUUUGGAAAACCAUAUAUAAUACUUGGAGGGAGCGAAAUGCCCGGAUUUUCAAGCAAUCUUAUAAAUAAGCAACUAGUCCCUCGGGACUUGAAAAAGAGGUUUCAACUAUCAAUCAUUGCCCUUAUGUUGAGCAGAUUUGGAAGCACUUGCUGAAUACCCUCCUAGCCAGGGGAUCCCCCUUGCCCUUGCAAGAUGAGGCCGAGUAGGUGAUGCACCAUUAUCCGGGGCAUGGUCUCAUUAGCUCUAUUACGAAACUGCUUUUUUUUGGAAAACCAUAUAUAAUACUUGGAGGGAGCGAAAUGCCCGAAUUUUCACGCAAUCUUAUAAAGCCCCAAGGGAGAUUUUUUACCAGAUUUACGCAUAAAGAAAAGGUAGGAUUUCAGCUUCCAAGUUGAAGUACUCUAAUUCGACCCGUGACCAGCAGAUAUUAGCCAGAAAGGGCUCCUUCCCCUUCUUGCUGCCAUAGAAGCAUGAAAAAAUGGAGUUUUCCUGUAACCAUUCUGAAACCAAGAAAGCCCUUAUUUCUGCCUAUAGAAUGAUUCUUCCACGACUCUCGCUUGGGUUCUAACUUCAAACUUCAUAGGAGUUCUGACCCACUUGACUUUUUGGUACCGAAAACAAAGGUUCGAAAUCCCAGUUGAGGCAAA